CUCCCACGGGCCCGCGGCACUCACCAAGGACCAGAGGAGGCGUAGGCGUCCUGGGCGACCCGACCUCUGCGAGCCGCGGUCCUGGGGCCGGAGACGGCGCAGACCCGGCCGGGCGGCGAGGAGGUGGGGCCCGCGCCUGCACGUCGGUGAUACGCAAAGUGCAAGAUGACCCAAAUGACCCCGGGCCUCGUGGCUCAGGUGAUCUCCAGGCAGAGUGCCGCAAGUGCCUGCUGGCUGCUGCUGGCUGCUUCUACUAAAACGCUGGAACCUCCUAGCUUCUCCAGCCACCAAGAGAAGGUAAAAUGAGCAAGAUGGAGUGCAGGCCCGUGCGGGCUAAAGAGGCUCUGAGGAUGAGGCCAGGGGUGUGGCUGGGAAAUCCUUUGUCAAUUCCCAAGGAUCCGAGCGGCAGCUCAGAGCAGGCAGCUAAAAGCACCAGGGCUUCUAAGAGGCUUCAAGCCUACGCAGAGGCCAAGGGAGAGAGAGACGUGGGGGUCUGGUCUCUGAAGGCGUGAACCUCUCUGCAAUGCUCACCAAGAAUUUUGGCCGACACAGUGCCAGUUCGGACUGCAAGGGUCAGAGAUGGCACAGAACACAGAAGGGCCUCUUGCCUGCCCAAACAUAGACUGAGAAGCUACACAGAUGCAAACGUGGGCCCUGUUUUGUGAAGAAGAAAGGGCGACUCGCAGAGCAGGACCCAGAGUCCACAUGGCGGAGCCCAGAGCCCCGAGCGCAGGCAGGAGUCAGACCGGGACUCCCAGCAUCUGCCCAGUAGGAUCUGAACACCGCCGUGGAACGGAGACUCCAGCGAGCCUCCAACCCCCAUCCCCUUUACGCAGGAAUGUCUGCAGGGUGGCUCCUGUGCCUGGCCCACCGCUGGGUGCUGGGUGCAAGCAGCUCUCUUGGACUCACCCACAGCGCCUCACCUGCAGCUGAUCUGACUCAGGUGCAGAGAUUCCAGCCCCUGAGCUGAUUCUGCGUGGGACGGGGCUUUUAAGGGAGGUCUGGAGGGGCGGGCGUGUUUUGCACGUGGGAGGGGUGUGUAUUGGGCAUGUGGGAGAUGGCCAGUGAUUUGGCAGAGUCUGUAAACCCGAGAGCCCUGACACAGCAGAGGGCCCUGCAGGUGAGGGUGGAGGCGUGCUUAUCUGCAUUCGAGAGAACUAGAACUUUCUACAGGACCCUUUGUGGCGAGGUCCUCCUGGGGAGGGUAGUGUGUGCUCUGUGUGGCCCUGGGUGGCCAUGGCUGGAGACAUGGGUUCUUUUUCUGUUUUGUAAGCAUGAGUCAGCUUGUUCUCUGUGGACUCAGUAACCGGGUGCUGUGUGUAUGCUACAAACGAAACAUUAACCUAGCCCCAGCCUGUGGCCUUCGAGAAAUCAAAACAGCAGGGCAAGUGACCCAAACUGGUGUUUAAAUCUGGGGCCACCAUACCCUCUGCUCAGCUGUCCCUGCCUUGAGAGUUACGCAAGCUGUCACCUCGCAUCCUGCUAUUUAGGACAUAUUCCUAAUGGGGUUCCAGGGGUCGGGGUGGUUUCCUUCCGUAUCUGCCCCCAAAAGCGAGUGACUUUACACAGAGCCUUGUGCCUGUGCCUUCAGCCAGAACCAGCUGACUACCUGGAAGAACAAACAUGAAUAUUUCUGAACAGCUAAGCUGUGGUUGUAAAGUUCAUUGCCAAAGUGAUCCUGGGCUGGGGAUGGUGGGGGUGGGGAUCAAGCUGUAGGUAUUACAAUAUCUGACUUCAAAGCAUACUGCAAAGCUAUGGUAAUUAAAACAGCAUGGCACUGACACACAGAUCAAUCAAUAAAACAGAAAUGGGAGCCCAGAAAUUAAUCCAUGUACAUACAGCCAACUGAUUUUUGACAAAAGCACCCAGAACACAAAUUGGAGAAAGGAUAAUGUCUUCAAUAAAUAUUGCUGGCAAAACUGGAUGUAUGUGGCCGGAGCCGCGGCUCACUAGGCUAAUCCUCUGCCUGCGGCACCGGUACCGGGGUUCUAGUCCUGGUCGGGGCACCAGAUUCUGUCCCGGUUGCCCCCCUUCCAGGCCAGCUCUCUGCUGUGGCCCAGGAAGGCAGUGGAGGAUGGCCCAAGUGCUUGGGCCCUGCACCCCAUGGGAGACCAGGAGAAGCACCUGGCUCCUGGCUUCGGAUCAGCGUGGUGCACCGGCUGCAGCGCGCCGGCCACGGCAGCCAUUGGAGGAUGAACCAACGGCAAAAGGAAGACCUUUCUCUCUGUCUCUCUCUCUCACUGUCCACUCUGACCAAAAAAAAAAAAAAAAAAAAAAAAAAUCCAGAAUACUGCAGCAACUCAAAAAACUCCAAAACCAAAAAAGAUCAAUCAAGAAAUGAGCAAAGGACUUCAACAGUUCUGAAAAGAAGAAACACAAAUGGCCAACAGAGCUAAGAAAAAACACUCACCCUCUCUCUCCCUCUCUUUGUAAGGCUGCCUUCCAAAUAAAUACACCUUUUUUAAAAAAUGAAAUUCUAUCAUUUGCAUCAAAAUGGUUGCCACUGGCAGACACCACGGGGAGUGAAAUAAGCCAGGUCCAGGAAGACAGAUAUGGCACGCUCUCCCUUAUACGUAGGAUCUAAAAGUUUUUUAAAAACCAGAAAAACAAGAAAUACCUAUGUGUGUCAGUUUUGCUGCAAAAUACAGUGUUGAUCAAACUGUUUUAAAUCUUUUUUUUUUUUCAAACUGUCAAGAAUUAUACACUUACUAUUGUUUUACCGAUUUGGGGACUUUUAAGAUUUAUGAGUCUUUUCUCCUAACUAGUCAUAGCUCUUCCUGUUUUCCUGCUGAACUACGUGAUCAUUUGCCUUUUUGCUUGUCGACCUCUUUAUUUUGUAAAGCAUUAAGCCUUUGAUUAUAACGCAAAUUAAAACAUGUCCUCUCACAAAUGAUAAAUAAAAGAUGAAGUUGGAAAAAAA